rnacentral:rRNA from 1 species
GUCGUAACAAGGUCUCCGUUGGUGAACCAGCGGAGGGAUCAUUAUCGAGUUAUUCAACUCCCAAACCCUAUGUGAACUUACCACUUGUUGCUUCGGCGCGCGCUUCGGCGCCGCCGAGGACACUUAAACUCUUUGUUUUUAUAAGCAUUUCUGAGUGGCCGAAAGGCAAAAAUACAAAUGAAUCAAAACUUUCAACAACGGAUCUCUUGGUUCUGGCAUCGAUGAAGAACGCAGCGAAAUGCGAUAAGUAAUGUGAAUUGCAGAAUUCAGUGAAUCAUCGAAUCUUUGGACGCACAUUGCGCCCGCCAGCAUUCUGGCGGGCAUGCCUGUUCGAGCGUCAUUUCAACCCUCGAGCCCGACUCUUUUGAGGACGGCUCGGCGUUGGGGGACGGCAGACUCCCCCCGGCAUCUCGCCGGGGACGCCGCCCCCGAAAUCUAGUGGCGGCCCUCCGAGGCGACCUCUGCGUAGUAACUUGUUCUCGCACCGGAAAGCUCAGAGCGACCACGCCGUAAAACCCCAACUUUUUUCAGGUUGACCUCGAAUCAGGUAGGACUACCCGCUGAACUUAAGCAUAUCAAUAGUCG